rnacentral:rRNA from 1 species
GACGUAGGUGGCUAGCGUUAUCCGGAUUUACUGGGCGUAAAGAGUGCGUAGGCGGCCUUUCAAGUCAGGUGUAAAAUCUCCCGGCUCAACUGGGAGGGACCAUCUGAUACUGUUGGGCUAGAGUACAGCAGAGGGGAGUGGAAUUCCCGGUGUAGUGGUGGAAUGCGUAGAUAUCGGGAGGAACACCAGUGGCGAAAGCGGCUCUCUGGGCUGUUACUGACGCUGUUGCACGAAAGCGUGGGGAG